UACAUAGGUCCCGAGCGUUGUUCGGAUUUAUUGGGCGUAAAGGGUGCGUAGGCGGCGGAGUAAGUUGGGUGUGAAAUCCCGGGGCUCAACCUCGGAAUGGCAUUCAAUACUGCUUCGCUAGAGUACUGGAGAGGAGGCUGGAAUUUACGGUGUAGCAGUGAAAUGCGUAGAUAUCGUAAGGAAGGCCGGUGGCGAAAGCGAGCCUCUGGACAGUUACUGACGCUGAUGCACGAAGGCCAGGGGAGCAAACGGG
rnacentral:rRNA from 1 species